UGUAUUGAUUUAUAAUUUCAUACUAUGCUGUUCAGAGAAGAUGCUGGAUAUGAGUUCAGUCAUUAAUUUAUCGAUAAUUGUUUUGGCCAACAUUUGAUCUGUCGUGCAGAAUGUUCCCUGUCCACUUGAGAAAAAUGUGUUUUCUACUGCUUUUUGAUGAAAUGUUCUUCAUGUGUCUGUUAAGUCCAGCUGGUCUAAUAUGUUAUUUAAGGUCCAUGUUUUCUUACUGAUUUUCUGUCUGGAUGAUCUAUCUCCUGAUGUAAGUGGGGUGUUAAAGUGCCUUAGUAUUACUGUAUUGCUAUUACUUUCUCCCUUUAUGUCCAUUAAUACUUGUUUUAUAUAUCCUGGUGUGCCUAUGUUGAGUACAUAAAUAUUUAUAAACAUUAUAUAUUUUUGCUGGAUUGAUCCCUUCAUCAUUACAUAAUGUCUUUCUUUACAUUUCAAUGCAGCCUUUGUUUAAAAUCUGUUUUAUCUGCUAUAAGUAUAACAAUACCAACUUCCUUUUCAUUUCCAUUUGCAUAGUAUAUCUGUUUCCACCCCUUCACUUUGAGUCUUUGUGUGUACUUACUCUUGAAAUGAGUUUCCUGUAGGCUGUAUGUAGAUAGAUCUUGUUUUUUAUCCAUUAAGCCACAUUGUGUCUUUUGAUUGGAGCAGUUAGUCCAUUUAUAUUUAAAGUAAUUAUUGAUAGGUAUGUA